GCCAAAGGCGAUAAGCUCACCAACCAAGAUCUGCGCAAGAUCAUGGGAGUAACAAUGAAGCUCUUCAGGGAAAAAAAAGGAGACGUGACUGACGACGAAAUGGAAAAAAAGAUGGCUGAGGUGGUCGAUGAAGAGAAGGCCAAAGUUGGGGUGAAAGUCUUCAGGGCCAUGGAGCAAUGCAGAAAGGAAAGAAAAGACAACAAGGCGGAAUAGCCCACCGCAAGGGGAGGACACACGAUGACGUAACACGACUGAAGGGCUGCGAGCGGAACAGGCUCUGUAACGAGUCGAGCGUUUGUUUUGGG